rnacentral:rRNA from 1 species
UACGGGGGGGGGCAAGCGUUGUUCGGAAUUACUGGGCGUAAAGGGCUCGUAGGCGGCCAACUAAGUCGGAUGUGAAAUCCCCAGGCUUAACCUGGGAACUGCAUCCGAUACUGGAUGGCUUGAAUCCGGGAGAGGGAUGCGGAAUUCCAGGUGUAGCGGUGAAAUGCGUAGAUAUCUGGAGGAACACCGGUGGCGAAGGCGGCAUCCUGGACCGGCAUUGACGCUGAGGAGCGAAAGCCAGGGGAGC